rnacentral:rRNA from 1 species
AGGACGAACGCUGGCGGCGUGCUUAACACAUGCAAGUCGAGCGGAAAGGCCCUUCGGGGUACUCGAGCGGCGAACGGGUGAGUAACACGUGAGCAACCUGCCCUUAGCUUCGGGAUAGCUCCGGGAAACCGGAAUUAAUACCGAAUAUGACUGCGGCUGACAUCAGCCACGGUGGAAAGUUUUUCGGCUAGGGAUGGACUCGCGGCCUAUCAGCUAGUUGGUGAGGUAACGGCCCACCAAGGCGACGACGGGUA